UACGAAGGGGCCAGCGUUGCUCGGAAUCACUGGGCGUAAAGGGUGCGUAGGCGGGUCUUUAAGUCAGGGGUGAAAUCCUGGAGCUCAACUCCAGAACUGCCUUUGAUACUGAGGAUCUUGAGUUCGGGAGAGGUGAGUGGAACUGCGGAGUGUAGAGGUGAAAUUCGUAGAUAUUCGCAAGAACACCAGUGGCGAAGGCGGCUCACUGGCCCGAUACUGACGCUGAGGCACGAAAGCGUGGGGAGCAACAGGG
rnacentral:rRNA from 1 species